rnacentral:rRNA from 1 species
AUACGGAGGAUCCGAGCGUUAUCCGGAUUUAUUGGGUUUAAAGGGUGCGCAGGCGGCCAUUUAAGUCAGCGGUUAAAUCGUGGGGCUCAACCCCAUUCUGCCGUUGAUACUGGGUGGCUUGAUUGCGGUCGAGGUUGGCGGAAUUCGUUGUGUAGCGGUGAAAUGCAUAGAUAUGACGAAGAACACCGAUUGCGUAGGCAGCUGACCAGAUCGCAAAUGACGCUCAUGCACGAAAGUGCGGGGAUCGAACAGGAUUAGAUACCCUGGUAGUCCGCACAGUAAACGAUGAAUACUUGUUUUCGGCGAUAUAACGUCGGAGGCAAAGCGAAAGCGAUAAGUAUUCCACCUGGGGAGUACGCCGGCAACGGUGAAACUUAAAGGAAUUGACGGG